rnacentral:rRNA from 1 species
GAGUUUGAUCAUGGCUCAGAACGAACGCUGGCGGCGUGGAUAAGACAUGCAAGUCGAACGGGAGAAUUGCUAGCUUGCUAAUAAUUCUCUAGUGGCGCACGGGUGAGUAACACGUGAGUAACCAGCCCCGAGAGCGGGAUAGCCCUGGGAAACUGGGAUUAAUACCGCAUAGUAUCGAAAGAUUAAAGCAGCAAUGCGCUUGGGGAUGGGCUCGCGGCCUAUUAGUUAGUUGGUGAGGUAACGGCUCACCAAGGCGAUGACGGGGUAGCCGGGUCUGAGAGGAUGUCCGGCCACACUGGAACUGAGACACGGUCCAGACACCUACGGGUGGCAGCAGUCGAGAAUCAUUCACAAUGGGGGAAACCCUGAUGGUGCGACGCCGCGUGGGGAAUGAAGGUCUUCGGAUUGUAAACCCCUGUCAUGUGGGAGCAAAUUAAAAAGAUAGUACCACAAGAGGAAGAGACGGCUAACUCUGUGCCAGCCGCCG